GAUGAACGCUGGCGGCGUGCCUAACACAUGCAAGUCGAACGAACCUGAUCUUCGGAAAAGGUUAGUGGCGCACGGGUGAGUAACACGUAGGUGACCUGCCCUGGAGUGGGGGAUAACUUCUCGAAAGAGAGGCUAAUACCGCAUACGCUCGGCCAUUCAGGUGGUCGAGUAAAGCUCCGGCGCGCCAGGAGGGGCCUGCGUCCGCUUAGCUAGUUGGUGAGGUAAUGGCUCACCAAGGCGAUUGUCGGUAGCUGGUCUGAGAGGACGAUCAGCCACACUGGCACUAACACACGGGCCAGACUCCUACGGGAGGCAGCAGUGAGGAAUAUUGGUCAAUGGGCGAAAGCCUGAACCAGCAACGCCGCGUGAGGGAUGAAGGCCUUCGGGUCGUAAACCUCUUUUCUGGGAGAAGAGACAAGGACGGUAUCCCAGGAAUAAGUCUCGGCUAACUACGUGCCAGCCGCCGCUGUAAUAC
rnacentral:rRNA from 1 species